rnacentral:rRNA from 1 species
AUGCCGGGCGGACAAGCGGGCGGCCGAACUCCCACCCCUGGGAGUAGGGCCACCGGCAGCGUCCAGCCGCCGAGCAGGAGAAGGAAGGGGACGCGUCCGCGGCAUAACAUUGGGAGGCCCGCCUCGACAUCAUCGGCCUCGGCUAUGUCCGCCCAGAUGACCCGCGUCGGGGCAGAGGGGGACUGUGGGCACGGCGAGGAGGCGGACGGCGAGGUCGCAGGGAGGAGGGCAGGGAGGGGGCGGCCGCCGACGGAGAGGACGGGGGCGGCAGAGAUGGGGGAGUCGCCGCACCGGGUGAAUCGCCCCUGGAGUCGCCAGCGCAGUCCGCCAUCCUCAACCCUCAUCCUUUUACUCAAUUGCAGGUUCUGA